rnacentral:rRNA from 1 species
UACAGAGGCCUCGAGCGUUAGGCGGAAUCACUGGGCUUAAAGCGUGGGUAGGUGGAUGCCUAAGUACCUUGUGAAAUCCCAUGGCUUAACCAUGGAAUUGCUCGGUAUACUGGGUGUCUUGAGCCACUCAGGGGCUACCGGAACAAGCGGUGGAGCGGUGAAAUGCGUAGAUAUCGCUUGGAACGCCAAAGGUGAAAACAGGUAGCUGGGGGUGUGCUGACACUGAGACACGAAAGCCAGGGGAGCAAACGGG